ACACUGACGUCGCGACGCAUAUCAAUAAGCGGAGGAAAAGAAACUAACAAGGAUUCCCUCAGUAACGGCGAGUGAAGCGGGAAGAGCUCAAAUUUGAAAUCUUCAAGGUUCUACCUUGACGAAUUGUAGUUUAAAGAAGUGUUUUCGGUUAGAGGAGUUUGGUAAAAGUUCUUGGAAUAGGACAUCAUAGAGGGUGAGAAUCCCGUAUUUGGUUAUUCAUUCUAGCUUUGUGAUACACUUUCAAAGAGUCGGAUUGUUUGGGAAUGCAGUCCAAAAUGGGUGGUAAAUUUCAUCUAAAGCUAAAUAUUGGCGAGAGACCGAUAGCGAACAAGUACCGUGAGGGAAAGAUGAAAAGAACUUUGAAAAGAGAGUUAAACAGUACGUGAAAUUGUCAAAAGGGAAGCGUUUGACACCAGUGUUGUUUUUCCGAAAAUCAAUUAUAAAAGUGGAUUUUGUUUCUGUAGUGAUGACCUUCAUCAGCUUGCCUUCUCUCUUCACUGACUUUUUUUAAUGCACUUUUCGUUAACAAGUCAACAUCAAUUUCUUUUGUUGUAAAAGAGUAUUCGGAAGGUGGCUUUCUUUUCGGAGAAAGUGUUUAUAGCCCUAUACUUCUACAAUCGGAGAGAUUGAGGUCUGCAGCGUAGAUCCUUCGGGGUUAGAUACACUUGUGCUAAGUUAUAGCUUUUCAUAGACAACUUGUUGACUAUGUUUAGUCUUGUAGCUUACUCGCUUGUGCUAUUUUACCUACGCUUAGGAUGUUGAGUCGAGAGCACGCAG
rnacentral:rRNA from 1 species